UGGAUGUUUACGUUUUUUUGUUAGUGUCUCCUUUAUGUGGUGAUAACUACACAAAAGCAUCCGAUAGUAACACAGAAGCUAUCUGUUCAACCCAGGCUAGUUAAUAGGGUUGGAUCGUUCCACUUCUGACAGUC
rnacentral:snoRNA from 1 species